GAUGAACGCUGGCGGCGUGCCUAAUACAUGCAAGUCGAGCGAACAGACGAGGAGCUUGCUCCUUUGACGUUAGCGGCGGACGGGUGAGUAACACGUGGGUAACCUACCUAUAAGACUGGGAUAACUUCGGGAAACCGGAGCUAAUACCGGAUAAUAUUUCGAACCGCAUGGUUCGAUAGUGAAAGAUGGCUUUGCUAUCACUUAUAGAUGGACCUGCGCCGUAUUAGCUAGUUGGUAAGGUAACGGCUUACCAAGGCAACGAUACGUAGCCGACCUGAGAGGGUGAUCGGCCACACUGGAACUGAGACACGGUCCAGACUCCUACGGGAGGCAGCAGUAGGGAAUCUUCCGCAAUGGGCGGAAGCCUGACGGAGCAACGCCGCGUGAGUGAUGAAGGUCUUCGGAUCGUAAAACUCUGUUAUUAGGGAAGAACAAACGUGUAAGUAACUGUGCACGUCUUGACGGUACCUAAUCAGAAAGCCACGGCUAACUACGUGCCAGCAGCCGCGGUAAUACGUAGGUGGCAAGCGUUAUCCGGAAUUAUUGGGCGUAAAGCGCGCGUAGGCGGUUUUUUAAGUCUGAUGUGAAAGCCCACGGCUCAACCGUGGAGGGUCAUUGGAAACUGGAAAACUUGAGUGCAGAAGAGGAAAGUGGAAUUCCAUGUGUAGCGGUGAAAUGCGCAGAGAUAUGGAGGAACACCAGUGGCGAAGGCGACUUUCUGGUCUGUAACUGACGCUGAUGUGCGAAAGCGUGGGGAUCAAACAGGAUUAGAUACUCUGGUAGUCCACGCCGUAAACGAUGAGUGCUAAGUGUUAGGGGGUUUCCGCCCCUUAGUGCUGCAGCUAACGCAUUAAGCACUCCGCCUGGGGAGUACGACCGCAAGGUUGAAACUCAAAGGAAUCGACGGGGACCCGCACAAGCGGUGGAGCAUGUGGUUUAAUUCGAAGCAACGCGAAGAACCUUACCAAAUCUUGACAUCCUUUGACCCUUCUAGAGAUAGAAGUUUCCCCUUCGGGGGACAAAGUGACAGGUGGUGCAUGGUUGUCGUCAGCUCGUGUCGUGAGAUGUUGGGUUAAGUCCCGCAACGAGCGCAACCCUUAAGCUUAGUUGCCAUCAUUAAGUUGGGCACUCUAAGUUGACUGCCGGUGACAAACCGGAGGAAGGUGGGGAUGACGUCAAAUCAUCAUGCCCCUUAUGAUUUGGGCUACACACGUGCUACAAUGGACAAUACAAAGGGCAGCGAAACCGCGAGGUCAAGCAAAUCCCAUAAAGUUGUUCUCAGUUCGGAUUGUAGUCUGCAACUCGACUACAUGAAGCUGGAAUCGCUAGUAAUCGUAGAUCAGCAUGCUACGGUGAAUACGUUCCCGGGUCU
rnacentral:rRNA from 1 species